GUUGCCAAGACUGUAUCUGCACUGGCGGAUAUUGGAAUCGUUCGCGAUGUCAACGCUGUAAAAAAAAAAGUGGGCGGACAUCAAAUCUAUUGUAAAAAAGAAGGGAACGGAGAGGGCAAGAGAGUUGAAAAAAACUGGAGGAGGGAAGACCACAAUCCAGCUGGACCCACUGGAGGAGAAAUUGUUGGGGGCGAUUGCCGAAACGUUAGUUGGAGGAGUGGACACCGGAGAACCGGGAGAAGACGAUAGCCUGCAAGCAGGAGAUUCUUUGGUCGUAGUAGCAGUCAACCAGGAUGCAGAACAAUCCCACACAUUCAAUGCAGCUGAACCAACACAAGCCCUCACAAAUCAUCAAAACCUGUUACAGAGUCCCGGGGAUGACCUGACAUUAUCACAGCUAAUCUCGGAAACCUUUCAUACACCUGCCACAUCCAGAAGCAACACAGAGCAUGGGUCGUUCACCACCGAAUCAGUUCGAAUGAACGAAUCUUUAAAGGAGACAUAUUAUACCACCAGGAGACAGUGGCUAUGCCUUAAGACCAUGGUUGAUGACACCCAUCCUUCACCCUGCAACAGAGCCAGAUGAGCGCUACAGCCGGGCACAACGAAAAACAGCUCAUUGGGGUAGUGAAGUCAAGGUUUAGGUGUAUCGACCGUUCUGGUGGAGUGCUCCAGUACACUCCUGAGAGGGCAUGUACAAUUAUUACCUGUGCUUUUAUCCUCCACAACAUCUGAAUUAUGUACCUCUUGCCAAUCCCUGACAUCCCAGAUGAUGAUGACCCCGAGGGAGAUGUCCCAGUCCCUGCCCCAUGUAACACUUGUGCAAGUGAGACAAGACCUCAAUAAAAAAAAACACAAUAAACAACAAAUGAAAACCUCUGAGUGAUUGCUAUUUUAUUCUAGGUUCAACAUUCUUUUUUUUUUUAAAUCAAACUUGGCUUGGGCAAGGCGAAGCUUCUCCCUCUCGACAAGCAGCUUUUCCCUCUCCACCUGCAGAAGUUGCUCCUGAGUAUGCCUCAGCAUUUUAACUUCCUCCAAAAGCUGACGCUGAAGGGAGACCAUGUCCUCUGUCAGGGCAAACGUUUGAGCAGGCUAUUUUCCGAACCGUAAGGUAAAGCUGCAACCGGGUUGGCUAGCAUAUGUUUGGGACAGUCAAAGGUUUGCUGAUUAAAGUACUCAGACUCACCAUUUACUUUAUAUUCCACGGGCGUUGGGAAUGGGUUGGUCAACCUUGAUGGCGGUGGCAUGGGGGGCAAC